rnacentral:RNase_P_RNA from 1 species
CGAGUCGGCCGGGCGGUCGCGUGCGUACCUAGUACGCCCGAGGAACGUCCGGGCUCCACAGGGCAGGGUGGUUGUUAACGGCAACCCGGGGUGACCCGCGGGACAGUGCCACAGAAAACAAACCGCCCGACGUAAGUCGGGUAAGGGUGAAACGGUGGGGUAAGAGCCCACCAGCGCCUCGGGUGACCGGGGCGGCUAGGUAAACCCCACCCGGAGCAAGGUCAAGAGGGCCUUCGGGCCUGCGCGAGCGUUUGAGGGCUGCCCGUCCGAGCUCGCGGGUAGACCGCUAGAGCCUGUCGGUGACGGCAGGCGUAGAUGGAUGACCGCCACCUGGUUUACCAGGUACAGAACCCGGCGUACAGGCCGGCUCGUUCC